rnacentral:misc_RNA from 1 species
AUUUAUUUUGUUUAAUAAUUAUUUUUUUAAUAUACAUCACAAAUACAGUAGUAAAGUUGCAUAGUCCACAUGCAGUCUCAUACCACCACUUCAAGAGCACAAAGCCUAACCCCACCCACGAUGAAUCCUACUGAAGAGUGAAGCGCCUGCCAUCCUCUGUUAUAAACAACUCCGCAGUAUUCCAAUAACAGUUCUUAAAACAUGCUCAGGAAAGAUAAACCCCAUCUACAAGAAAUUGCUUGAUUUUUAUCAAACUCAAAACACAAGCUACCAUCCUAAUGAUCAAAAUGACAAGAAAAAUAAAUCUAACAAAUGGGGGGAGGAAAAACAUCUCAAAAAAUCACUAGAGAGUGGCCCAGCACCCAACUUUCAGAGUUGCCUUCUAAUUUUAUUGGAUCAAAGCAACACUAACAGCCAGACACUCAACUUAUUAGGGAACAGAAUAUAAAGGUGCUGGCAGAAAAGGAAAUGGUGCAAUAGAAGCAUAUGCCACAGGUGCACGUGCUUGUGUACUACCAAUUGUAUGCCUUGCUUCGCUCUUCUGAUCAUCAGUUCCAGAGUCUAGUACUUUAGCUUCCAAGGAAGAUGGAAGCUCACUUUCUCCAGAAAGACGGUGAAACAAAAGCCCAGACAUAAAUACGGGAAGAUACAGUAGACUGGCAUGAAACAUCCUCUUAGCCUUAUGUACUGUUCGGUCUUGGUAGAAUGAAAAGGCUGACGCACUAAUUGCUAGAGUCAAGAUUGAUGAUUCAAGACAAAACCAACCAGAAGUCACACCCCAAUCAUAUGCCAAAAAACCCAAUGGAACCAGAUACAGACAGUUCCUAAGAGCUACUGAGGCAGUUCUUUGACCAGAGGCAUCAGCAAGAGAGAACAUCUUAAACCCUCCAUCAGCAUAAUCAUUGCGACACAAAUAAGCAAGGGCCAUGAAGUGGGGUAUUUGCCAAAAAUAGAGCGCAGCAGGAAGAAUCAUUGCAUUCAGUGAAACCUGGCCAGAAGCUGCAGCCCACCCUAAAAGUGGUGGAAUGGCACCGACAACAGCCCCAACCCAUGUGUUGACCGGAUGAAUCUGCUUCAAUGGUGUAUAGACAAAUGCAUAAAGAAUAAGAUUGGAUGCUGCAAGCCCAGCUGCCAACAUAUUAGCCUUGCAAGUCAACAAAGCAGUGCCAGCUAAACCAACAGAAGAUGCCCAGGUAACAGCGUGUGGUAUUGUAAGACGCCCGGAAGGAAGUGGUCUUUGCCUUGUUCUUUUCAUUUUGGCAUCAUUACUUAUCUCAAACACCUGAUUUAAUGAGUUAGCAGAUGCUGCAACCAUCAUCGUACCAGCACAAGUCCAACAUAGUCCCGCAAAAUCAACAGCAUUGCCACUCCCAAGA